UACGUAGGGGGCAAGGCGUUGUCCGGAUUUAUUGGGCGUAAAGAGCGUGUAGGCGGCCAGACAGGUCCGUUGUGAAACUCGAGGCUCAACCUCGAGACGCCGAUGGAAACCGUCUGGCUAGAGUCCGGAAGAGGAGAGUGGAAUUCCUGGUGUGAGACGGUGGAAUGACGCAGAUAUCAGGAAGAACACCCGUGGCUAAGGCGGCUCUCUAGUACGGUACUGACGCUGAGACGCGAAAGCGUGGGGAGCGAACAGG
rnacentral:rRNA from 1 species